UAGGGAUUUCAUAUUUGGAUAACCACCGUUUUCAUUGAAGUUAAGCACUCGUCUCAUCUCGCGAUUUGAUUAGGAAUUAGGGAUUUGAGAUUUGGAUAACCACCGUUUGUUUUGAUCAGGAAAUAGGGAUUUCAUAUUUGGAUCUUCAUCUGCAUUCUCAUAUCCCUAAAUCUUCAAGUGACAAUCGAAUUAGGUCACUUCAAGAAAAUAGAUUAACAGGGAAGAUUUCAGAAGUGAUAUGCUUAAUGCAAGCCCUUGCAAUUUUGUACCUACAUGGAAACACGCUUACUGGUCCAAUACCAAUCAACUUGUUGGAAACAUGCUACCUACAAUUGAAUGACAAUCAACUUGUUGAAAAAAUUCCUGAUGAAAUUGGGAAGCUUGAACAUCUGUUUGAAUCAUCUGAUCUAAGUCUUUCCUGAGGUUCCAAGGAUAUCAGUUUCACUCACCGUAGCAGUCCCUUGGGGUUCAAGUUCUCAAGGAAAAAUACAUAUUUUCAUGAGACUUGAAGUUUUUUUGGAUCAAUAAGGCGCCCAAUGUUUGUCAGUGGCCGCCUAGCGGCCAUGGCGGUUAGCAGAAACCCAUCAUUGAAGUAAUUAGGCGCCCAACACCCAAAAAGGGUUGCUCAACGCUCUGCGUAGAUGCUGAAUCACUAUAAAAGGAUUUUCUUCAGUUUUAAAAAUAUAACUCAUUUUUGGAAAGAAAGAACAUAGGAAAAACAGAGAGAGCUCGACCCAAGGAGGAAAGGAAGGAGACACGCCGAGGACAUUGCCGAUCAUCAUUGCUGAUCAUCAUCUUCUUCAUAGUUUCUCUUUGUAAGCCUAGAUAACAUCCAUGUCUAUGGAUAGCUAAAGCUUUCUUGUUGGGAUUGGUUGUAGCC